UACGUAGGGUGCAAGCGUUUAAUCGGAAUUACUGGGCGUAAAGCGUGCGCAGGCGGUUAUGCAAGACAGAUGUGAAAUCCCCGGGCUUAACCUGGGAACUGCAUUUGUGACUGCAUAGCUAGGAGUACGGUCAGAGGGGGAUGGAAUUCCGCGUGUAGCAGUGAAAUGCGUAGAUAUGCGGAGGAACACCGAUGGCGAAGG
rnacentral:rRNA from 1 species